CCUACUGGUGGCUGCAGUGGGGAAUAUUGGACAAUGGGCGAAAGCCUGAUCCAGCCAUGCCGCGUGUGUGAAGAAGGCCUUCGGGUUGUAAAGCACUUUCAGUGGGGAAGAAAGCCUUGGGGCUAAUACCCUCGAGGAAGGACAUCACCCACAGAAGAAGCACCGGCUAACUCCGUGCCAGCAGCCGCGGUAAUACGGAGGGUGCGAGCGUUAAUCGGAAUUACUGGGCGUAAAGCGCGCGUAGGCGGUCUGAUAAGCCGGUUGUGAAAGCCCCGGGCUCAACCUGGGAACGGCAUCCGGAACUGUCAGGCUAGAGUGCAGGAGAGGAAGGUAGAAUUCCCGGUGUAGCGGUGAAAUGCGUAGAGAUCGGGAGGAAUACCAGUGGCGAAGGCGGCCUUCUGGACUGACACUGACGCUGAGGUGCGAAAGCGUGGGUAGCAAACAGGAUUAGAUACCCGUGUAGUC
rnacentral:rRNA from 1 species